UACCAGUGCCUGUGCUUUGUGGCGUCUUUCUCUACCUGGGCGCGUUGUCACUCCGAGGAAUUCAGGUUUUGGCUCUCGUUUUUGUCUGGAAAAUUAUGGAUUUCUGCUUCUCGAAGCGAGAGCUCAGCGUUCUGGUGACCAUAUGGCAGGAAGCAAGAAGUUGUUGGACGGUGCCAAAAAUGAAGCCAAAGGAGAAGAGGAGUCCCAGAAGAUGCCGGAAACU